GUACCUGCGGAAGGAUCAUUAAAGAGUAAGGGUGCUCAGCGCCCGACCUCCAACCCUUUGUUGUUAAAACUACCUUGUUGCUUUGGCGGGACCGCUCGGUUCCGAGCCGCUGGGGAUUCGUCCCAGGCGAGCGCCCGCCAGAGUUAAACCAAACUCUUGUUAUUUAAACCGGUCGUCUGAGUUAAAAUUUUGAAUAAAUCAAAACUUUCAACAACGGAUCUCUUGGUUCUCGCAUCGAUGAAGAACGCAGCGAAAUGCGAUAAGUAAUGUGAAUUGCAGAAUUCAGUGAAUCAUCGAAUCUUUGAACGCACAUUGCGCCCCUUGGUAUUCCGAGGGGCAUGCCUGUUCGAGCGUCAUUACACCACUCAAGCUAUGCUUGGUAUUGGGUGCCGUCCUUAGUUGGGCGCGCCUUAAAGACCUCGGCGAGGCCUCACCGGCUUUAGGCGUAGUAGAAUUUAUUCGAACGUCUGUCAAAGGAGAGGACUUCUGCCGACUGAAACCUUUUAUUUUUUCUAGGUUGACCUCGGAUCAGGUAGGGAUACCCGCUGAACUUAAGCAUAUCAAAG
rnacentral:rRNA from 1 species